UGGAGAGCUAAUGCAUGGUGCUAAGUAUGGAAAGGUCUCUUGUGGUUUGGUUGUGCCAGAGACAAAUGUGCAUUAUUUCCAUGUUGGGUCAGAAGUCUCGGUACACUUUAAGUGAGUGGCAGUUGGGUAGAUGGAUGACCUUCAGAUAGUUUGAGAUGAAGAAGUUCUUUUAAAUGAUUGAAAGUGAUCAUCAUAGAAUCAACUCCAUUAUGAAGAUAAAUUAUGAGAGUCAGCACUCCUUUUGUCCAACACCUGAGAGAUCUGAGUACCCAGCCUACUGUUGAAUUAAUUGGUGACCAAGAAAAGAUGACAGAGAGGGGAAUCAAAUAUGGAUGCCAUCAUGAUCAAGAAUAUAUACAUUGACUAGAAAAUAUCUGAAAAUAUAUCGAUGAACAUUCAAGCAUUUAUAAUAAUGAAAGUUAUUCAGCAAGAGAGUUUUUGCACAAGUUUAAUUUUCAGUAAAAUUGUGUAUAUUGUGAACUGAGGAACUUAGUAUGUAACUCAUUAUCAUUAUCCAUUUCUUUAGAGGAUGUAUUCGGAGUAUAUUUAAAUAAUCAUUAUCUUCCAGAAAAGAGCACACAAAACUUUUCUCUCUGUGCAAAGCAUGACACAUAUGCAUACACUCCAGCAUUUACCACAACCACAGUUACAUAUUUUCCAGGGCGUUUGAAGUCGAGCACAUACAUGAAAAUGUGUUAAGCUGGACACAUGUGUAAACACACAAGCAUCUACCACAACACCAGUUACAUAUUUUCCAAGGCGUGUGAAGUCGAGCACAUACAUGAAAAUGUGUGAAGCUGGACACAUAUGCAAACACACAAGCAUCUAUCACAACCAGUUACAUAUUUUCCAAGGCGUGUGAAGUCGAGCACAUACAUGAAAAUGUGUGAAGCUGGACACAUAUGCAAACACACAAGCAUCAACCACAACACCACUUACAUAUUUUCCAAGGCGUGUGAAGUCGAGCACAUACAUGAAAAUGUGUGAAGCUGGACACAUAUGCAAACACACAAGCAUCUAUCACAACCAGUUACAUAUUUUCCAAGGCGUGUGAAGUCGAGCACAUACAUGAAAAUGUGUGAAGCUGGACACAUAUGCAAACACACAAGCAUCUACCACAACACCACUUACAUAUUUUCCAAGGCGUGUGAAGUCGAGCACAUACAUGAAAAUGUGUGAAGCUGGACACAUAUGCAAACACACAAGCAUCUACCACAACCAGUUACAUAUUUUUCAAGGCUUGUGAAGUCGAGCACGUACAUAAUCUCCUACCACAGACGCAAUACACAUAACAUUUACACCAACGUAUAAAGUCAAGCUCAAACAGGCUCACUGCGUGAAGCUGGACACAUGCAUUUACUUAUGCAUCUUGCAAAACUACAUCUGAACCUAUAUUCUAAUAGGUGUUUAAGCAAUUUUGUUUAUUUUGUGAAUAUGUAAAUUGCACCAUUAUGCUUACAGGAUGUCAACAUUAUUAACCUGUACGGAAAUACUCAUUAG